CAUUACAAAUCUUUGAGAGAGCUGCGUGCUGUUUUGCAGUGCGCGGUGAUCUACAUUAGCACAGGGUCGCAAGACUCUGAUGUUUACGCUUGUUUGUUUGACAGAGUUAGUUGAGAAAUAAUAAAGACAACUUUAAACAAUGGAUCUCUUGGCUCUUGCAACGAUGAAGAACGCAGUAAAGUGCGAUAUGUAGUGCGAUUUGCAUGAAUCUGUGAGUCAUCUAAUCUUUGAACGCAACUUGCGCCUUUUACGAGGCAUGUUUGUUUGAGUGCCGCAAUCUUCUGCAGCAAUGCGAUUUGACCUGCGUCUUUGUUGACCGGGUUUAAAGAGAGCUAGAGGAUGGCCAGUUUGGACUAGUCCGAGUGCUAAGCAUUCUUGGGUCUAGGACGGAUUGGCUGUUAAAUCUUCUUUUUUAUUUGGCCUCAAAUCAAGCAAGACUACCCGCUGAACUUAA
rnacentral:rRNA from 1 species